GCCUCUCCUCAGAUGUCUCUGCUGGAGGAGAGUGUGCAGGCGUGCGGUGUCCCCGGGGCUGGGCGACGUCUCCAUCACCGGAGGAGGAGGAAGGCUGGGAGGACUCAGCGGGCUGGUGGCUCUGUCAGGGAGAUGGAGAUGAUGGCUGUACAGGGAGCCCUGCAGCUCAGUUGCUCCAGGCGCUGCUUUUAACCCUUUCUCACCAAGCAGGUGGGUGGCAGCGAGCCUGGCUGCCAGCCCACGGAUCUCCCCUGCCCCUGGGGACAGCACCCACGGUCUCCAUCACGCAGUGGCUCCUGAGCAGCGAUGGCUGAUGGCCGGGGCAGGGCGGCCGGGGGCAGAGGAAGAGGAGGUUCUCAGCGUGCAGCAGGUGCCGAGGCAACACUCGCCACAACAAAUCCCUGUGAUUCAGCCCCAGAGCAUCUGCCGCCGCCGGGGACCAAACGUUCACAAAUGGCAACAAAUGGCCGAGGAGACUGAUGUCACGCAGCCGCCUCUGCCAAGGCAUCCCGGAGACCCCGGCAGCCAGAGCUCCCCAGCGGGGUGGACAGCCCUGUGGGAGGGACAGUGCUCCUCAGCUGUGCUUCGCCUGAGAGACCCCCACAAGUCCCUGCCGGCCCGAAUCUCUCUUGUUCUCUGGUGCUGAUGGCAACACGGGGCUGCCAAGGAUCAGACCAGAAGCUCCUGCCUUUCAUUUGUAGUCCCUCCAGUGGAUACUUUUUCUGGAAGUGAGGCUGGAGGCUGGAGUGAGAAUGAAGAGAGAGAUGGAGGGAGAAACCAUCAAAUGGGCCUUCCAGUCUGGAGGACAGCAGUACCUGGAGCAGGAUCCAGCGGCUGGAUGCUGGUAGAGGAUAGACAGGAUUUGGAAUAAGGUCCCAACUAUUGGAGUGACUUCCUGAGGCAGAUUAACC